rnacentral:rRNA from 1 species
UACGGAGGGUGCGAGCGUUGUCCGGAAUCACUGGGCGUAAAGGGUGCGUAGGCGGGUCUUUAAGUCAGGGGUGAAAUCCUGGAGCUCAACUCCAGAACUGCCUUUGAUACUGAGGAUCUUGAGUUCGAGAGAGGUGAGUGGAACUGCGAGUGUAGAGGUGAAAUUCGUAGAUAUUCGCAAGAACACCAGUGGCGAAGGCGGCUCACUGGCCCGAUACUGACGCUGAUGCACGAAAGCGUGGGGAGCAAACAGG